rnacentral:rRNA from 1 species
AGGAUAAACGCUGGCGGCGUGCCUAAUACAUGCAAGUCGAGCGGCAGCGCGGUCUUCGGACUGGCGGCGAGCGGCGGACGGCUGAGUAACACGUAGGAACGUACCCCAAAGUGAGGGAUAAGCACCAGAAAUGGUGUCUAAUACCGCAUGUGCUCUAAGGAGUAAAGCUUCGGCGCUUUGGGAACGGCCUACGCAUGAUUAGCUUGUUGGUGAGGUAAUGGCUCACCAAGGCGACGAUCAUUAGCUGGUCUGAGAGGAUGAUCAGCCAGACUGGGACUGAGAACGGCCCAGACUCCUACGGGAGGCAGCAGUAGGGAAUUUUCCACAAUGGGCGAAAGCCUGAUGGAGCAGCGCCGCGUGCAGGAUGAAGGCCUUAGGGUUGUAAACUGCUUUUAUGUGUGACGAAUAUGACGGUAGCAUAUGAAUAAGGAUCGGCUAACUCCGUGCCAGCAGCCGCGGU